UCCUCCGUGUUGAUGGUUAGAGGAUU
rnacentral:piRNA from 1 species